AUGCUGCCCACCAGUUCCAAAUUUCAACCCCUCACCCGAUACACAUAGGAAAGAUUAUGGGGGGACCUUUUAGCACACCUUUUAGCACCCCUUUAGCUUUGUGCCCUAACCUGCAGUCAGCCCACAUGAUUUUUAACGCCUCACUCUUUUGCUGUUAGGAAUAUCUCUUUCAUAGUUUGUAUUCUUUCCAAUGCCAUAACCUAAUAGGUGAUGACUCUUCC